rnacentral:rRNA from 1 species
GAUGAACGCUGGCGGCGUGCCUAAUACAUGCAAGUCGAGCGAACAGACGAGGAGCUUGCUCCUCUGACGUUAGCAGCGGACGGGUGAGUAACACGUGGAUAACCUACCUAUAAGACUGGGAUAACUUCGGGAAACCGGAGCUAAUACCGGAUAAUAUAUUGAACCGCAUGGUUCAAUAGUGAAAGACGGUUUUGCUGUCACUUAUAGAUGGAUCCGCGCCGCAUUAGCUAGUUGGUAAGGUAACGGCUUACCAAGGCAACGAUGCGUAGCCGACCUGAGAGGGUGAUCCGGCAAACUUGAACUGAGAAACGGGCCAGAAUCCUAAGGGAGGCAGCAGUAGGGAAACUUCCGGAAUGGGCGAAAGCCUGAAGGAGCAACGGCGCGGGAGGGAAGAAGGUCUUCGGAUCGUAAAACUCUGUUAUUAGGGAAGAACAAAUGUGUAAGUAACUAUGCACGUCUUGACGGUACCUAAUCAGAAAGCCACGGCUAACUACGUG